CUUAUGGCUAACGUAGGCGGGAGCACUGUGCCCCAGGUUUAUGUAGGACGGGGUGACGGGAAUAUACUACGGAGGUGUACUUCCUUUAAAACCAGGAGUCACGCUCCGAUUUUGUUUUGAAGACACGGACAGUAACCCGUUCGCUAGGGAGUACACCUAGGAACUGGAAUUACUCGGGGAAUUGGGAACUGGUCAGAGUAAUAGAGGUAACGGCUUGCACGUUUUAAUAAAGGGUUGAAAGAU